rnacentral:other from 1 species
UUUCCUGCUGUGUGCGUUUGUUGCUGGUGUUUUGAGCCAACACAGUUACAUUGGGAAUUGCGCUCUUGCUGCAGCGUAGAUGCCUUGCUUGCAAGGACCUAUCAAACAGAAAGGCCUUUACCCACCUGCCUAGGGCAGGUUCAAAACAUUGGUUAUACGGCACAGCGGGGU